rnacentral:lncRNA from 1 species
GAUAUAAAGUUUGACACUCAACAAAUCAAUAAGACAAAAAUCAACAGCAGCAGCAGAGCGCAACCAAUCGCAGCCAAUCACAGGAGCAGCAGAGCAGGCGUCCAAAAAAACAGUGUUAGUUUCUCUAAUCUCUAAAGAUCUAAACGUGAAACUAUUAGAAAAAGGCUAAAUUGAAAAUUCUGGACGUCAUGUCCCUAUCAUACAGAACGCAACCAAUCGAAGAGCAGAGCUGCAGAGCAGGCAACCACUCACCAGCAGCAGCGUCUUGAGGCCGCCAGGCGCCAGGACCAGGAACACUGGAACAGCCGCGCGCUCGCCGCUCGGCCGCUCGCCACCAGCCGUCGAGCACUCCAGCCGCGCGCUCGUCAGGAACAGGAAGCCAGGCGCUCGUCAGGAACAAGAAGCCAGGCCACCAGCCGACAGCCGUCCAGCCGCGCGGCGCGCUCGCCAGGAAGCCAGUAGCCAGGUUGAAGGUUGAGGUCGCUAGCCGCCAGGAACAGUCGCACUCGUGGUUCUAGGAACUGGAAGCUGAAGGAUCGGGAAGUUGAAACCAGUGGCAGACCUAGGAUUUUUACAUAGGGUGUGCCGCAACAAAAUUUUCAUGUGGAAUUCUAUUUAAUGUACAUAUAAUUUCAUAGUAAAUUUGGUAAACAAUUUGAUAUAUAGAUAUAAAGUUUGACACUCAACAAAUCAAUAAGACAAAAAUCAACAGCAGCAGCAGAGCGCAACCAAUCGCAGCCAAUCACAGGAGCAGCAGAGCAGGCGUCCAAAAAAACAGUGUUAGUUUCUCUAAUCUCUAAAGAUCUAAACGUGAAACUAUUAGAAAAAGGCUAAAUUGAAAAUUCUGGACGUCAUGUCCCUAUCAUAUAGAACGCAACCAAUCGAAGAGCAGAGCUGCAGAGCAGGCAACCACUCACCAGCAGCAGCGUCUUGAGGCCGCCAGGCGCCAGGACCAGGAACACUGGAACAACCGCGCGCUCGCCGCUCGGCCGCUCGCCACCAGCCGUCCAGCAGCCGCGCGGCGCGCUCGCCAGGAAGCCAGUAGCCAGGUUGAAGGUUGAGGUCGCUAGCCGCCAGGAACAGUCGCACUCGUGGUUCUAGGAACUGGAAGCUGAAGGAUCGGGAAGUUGAAACUG